AUUGAACGCUGGCGGCAGGCCUAACACAUGCAAGUCGAACGAGUGGCGGACGGGUGAGUAAUGUCUGGGAAACUGCCUGCUGGAGGGGGAUAACGACUGGAAACGGUAGCUAAUACCGCAUGCCAUCAGAUGUGCCCAUAUGGGAUUAGCUAGUAGGUGGGGUAACGGCUCACCUAGGCGACGAUCCCUAGCUGGUCUGGGAGGAUGACCAGCCACACGGGAACUGAGACACGGGCCAUACUCCUACGGGAGGCAGCAGUGGGGAAUAUGGGACAAUGGGCGCAAGCCGGAUGCAGCCAUGCCGCGUGUAUGAAGAAGGCCUUCGGGGUGUAAAGUACUUUCAGCGGGGAGGCGUUACCCGCAGAAGAAGCACCGGCUAACUCCGUGCCAGCAGCCGCGGUAAUAC
rnacentral:rRNA from 1 species